rnacentral:rRNA from 1 species
GUGGGGAAUAUUAGGCAAUGGGCGAAAGCCUGACCUAGCAACGCCGCGUGAAGGAAGAAGGCCUUCGGGUUGUAAACUUCUUUUAUGAGGGACGAAGGACGUGACGGUACCUCAUGAAUAAGCCACGGCUAACUACGUGCCAGCAGCCGCGGUAAUACGUAGGUGGCGAGCGUUGUCCGGAUUUACUGGGUGUAAAGGGCGCGUAGGCGGACUGGCAAGUCAGAUGUGAAAUACAGGGGCUCAACCCCUGAACUGCAUUUGAAACUGUUGGUCUUGAGUAUCGGAGAGGCAAGCGGAAUUCCUAGUGUAGCGGUGAAAUGCGUAGAUAUUAGGAGGAACACCAGUGGCGAAGGCGGCUUGCUGGACGACAACUGACGCUGAGGCGCGAAAGCGUGGGGAGCAAACAGGAUUAGAUACCCUAGUAGUCC